GCUUCCGUAGCUCAGUUGGUUAGAGCUUCGUACUAAUACUUUAUCUUACAAGUGUUGGUGAUGCGAAGGUCGCAGGUUCAAGCCCUGCCGGGAGCA
rfam:Neonectria ditissima strain R09/05 contig_49, whole genome shotgun sequence.